UACGUAGGGUGCGAGCGUUGUCCGGAAUUAUUGGGCGUAAAGAGCUCGUAGGCGGUGUGUCGCGUCGGUCGUGAAAACUUGGGGCUUAACCCUGAGCUUGCGGUCGAUACGGGCAUCACUGGAGUUCGGCAGGGGAGACUGGAAUUCCUGGUGUAGCGGUGAAAUGCGCAGAUAUCAGGAGGAACACCGGUGGCGAAGGCGGGUCUCUGGGCCGAUACUGACGCUGAGGAGCGAAAGCGAGGGGAGCGAACAGG
rnacentral:rRNA from 1 species